rnacentral:sRNA from 1 species
UAGCUAUGGCUGGCUUGGAACUCACUAUGUAGAACAAGUUAGCCUUAAAGCAGCUCGUACGCGCUGGUUGUUCCACCAUACCUAGCUUCCCACUGUUAGUGCCAUUUUCUUCUCUGUUUACUCUGUACGUCAGAGGAUUCAGGAAGUAAGAGGAAAACACAGACAGACAAAUGAAAAGGCAAACAGGAAACUUUGCUGUCUUUGUUGUGGCCAAAAGUGUUGCCUGUCGAACAUCUGGGAGCACAACAGCUAUUUGACAGAACUGCUGGGCUUUGUCUUAGGAGAUGGUUUUCUUUUCCCUAACAGCACCAUGGCCAGAGGGGAGCAGUGUGCUCAAGUAACCCAGCUCAGUGGACUUGCUGUCUUGCUCUCUCGAUCGCUGCAGGUGCUGUCGGAAACCUUGCCCUUCCUGAGGCCCACUGACACCUCCACCACUCACAAGGGCCAAAGAUUGAUUUGGUCAUGUGGGUACAACUGCAACGAAGAAGAUCGACGUCUACCUCCCCCUGCACUCAAGCCAGGACAGACUGCUGCCAAUGACUGUGGUGACCAUGGCCAGCGCCAGGGUGCAGGACCUCAUCGGGCUCAUCUGUUGGCAGUACACGAGUGAAGGACGGGAGCCAAAGCUCAAUGACAACGUCAGUGCCUACUGCCUGCAUAUUGCUGAGGAUGAUGGGGAGGUGGACACGGAUUUCCCACCGCUGGAUUCCAAUGAACCCAUUCAUAAGUUUGGCUUCAGUACUUUGGCCCUGGUUGAAAAGUACUCUUCCCCUGGUCUGACCUCCAAAGAGUCGCUCUUUGUUCGAAUGUGAGUACUCCCUGUUAUCUCCUCAGUGUGUCACCCUGACCUUCAGGCAUUGUUUAUCAGGUGACGUAUAUGUGUUACCUGGAACAUCUGCUCACAUGGUUACCUGCAAAACACUUGGGGACCAUGUGCAUUGCCGUUUGGUGCUUCUGUGCCGAGGACAUGUGCAGCCUGUUGAGCAGUGGUAGACUGAGAUGGAUCCGGGAACAGCAUGUCUACAGAUGACCUCUGGGAGCAGUGGUGACUAAGAGCCUAGGAAGCAUUAUCUGGGUUUGCCCCUUUCUAGUCAAGGAUACCAACCUAAUACAAAUGCAUAAUUGUGGCUAUUUUUCUAUUGUGACGUAAAAUGCUUUUUUCUCCAACUGGUUCAGAUUCUAUCUGUUUUUCCUCGGUUGCCUUCCUUUAGACUAUGCCUACUCUAUGUUUUUGUCAAUCUGGUAAAGCCUUAAAAAACCACUCUCAGAGAAGUGUAUGUACAUACAUAAAAUAAAAUUCAUUGGAAUAUAAAGACUCUCAUAUUGAAAGUCAACAGAUCAUUAAACAACUCUGCAUGUAGUGAUACAUCUGACUUUAUUAAUAGAUUGCCUAACAAGACCCAGAGGAGUUCUAACUACUGCUCUUAAAGCCUGUUGAUCAGAGCAGCAGUGAGUCUAAAUGCUGCUUCAGGAGUCCGCACCGUUUGUAGCAAACAGCAGUUAGCAUGAUUGGCACCAGCAUGGCUCAUCCUGCUGUGAAUUGUUGCCUCCACUUUCCAUUGGAGGAGAUGCUAAGGACUGCAGUGGGGACGAGCGUGUGUCCAUCGGGGUCCAUGGUCCUGAGGCCCAGAGCUGAGGGCAAGCCCACACACUCAGGUUUAACCUAAGUGUUUCUAAUCUCCCUCUCCUGGCUAUCUCCUGGGACUAAUAGUGAUCCCUUUGGCACCCCCUGCUGUUUGGAACCAGCAAAUUCAUAGUCCUAAUGAGGGAUUACUUUAAAGGAUCUUCUCCUUUCCCUUUAAAACAGAUUCCUGGGGCUGGAGAGA